GCCUGGGUGGCUCAGUUGGUUGAGCGUCUGACUUCGGCUCAGGUGAUGAUCUCACAGUUCAUGAGUUCGAGCCCCACGUCAGGCU
rnacentral:tRNA from 1 species